rnacentral:rRNA from 1 species
UACCAGCACCCCGAGUGGUCGGGACGAUUAUUGGGCCUAAAGCAUCCGUAGCCGGUUCUACAAGUCUUCCGUUAAAUCCACCUGCUUAACAGAUGGGCUGCGGAGGAUACUAUAGAGCUAGGAGGCGGGAGAGGCAAGCGGUACUCAGUGGGUAGGGGUAAAAUCCUUUGAUCCAUUGAAGACCACCAGUGGCGAAGGCGGCUUGCCAGAACGCGCUCGACGGUGAGGGAUGAAAGCUGGGGGAGCAAACCGG